rnacentral:rRNA from 1 species
UAGGGAAUCUUCGGCAAUGGACGGAAGUUUGACCGAGCAACGCCACGUGAGUGAAGAAGGUUUUCGGAUCGUAAAGCUCUGUUGUAAGAGAAGAACGAGUGUGAGAGUGGAAAGUUCACACUGUGACGGUAUCUUACCAGAAAGGGACGGCUAACUACGUGCCAGCAGCCGNGGUAAUACGUAGGUCCCGAGCGUUGUCCGGAUUUAUUGGGCGUAAAGCGAGCGCAGGCGGUUAGAUAAGUCUGAAGUUAAAGGCUGUGGCUUAACCAUAGUAGGCUUUGGAAACUGUUUAACUUGAGUGCAAGAGGGGAGAGUGGAAUUCCAUGUGUAGCGGUGAAAUGCGUAGAUAUAUGGAGGAACACCGGUGGCGAAAGCGGCUCUCUGGCUUGUAACUGACGCUGAGGGCUCGAAAGCGUGGGGAGCAAACAGGAUUAGAUACCCUGGUAGUCCACGCUGUAAACGAUGAGUGCUAGGUGUUAGACCCUUUCCCGGGGUUUAGUGCCGUAGCUAACGCAUUAAGCACUCCGCCUGGGGAGUACGACCCGCAAGGUUG